rnacentral:rRNA from 1 species
GACGAACGCUGGCGGCGUGCCUAACACAUGCAAGUUGAGCGACGAACCAGGGCUUGCCCUGGGGCAAAGCAGCGAACGGGUGAGUAACACGUAGGUAACCUACCCCGAUAACCGGGACAACCCGAGGAAACUCGGGCUAAUACCGGAUGUGCUCACUGGACUUCGGUUCAGUGCGUAAAGGAAGCUUCGGCCUCCGUAUCGGGAGGGGCCCGCGGCCCAUUAGUUUGUUGGUGAGGUAACGGCUCACCAAGACCGCGAUGGGUAGCUGGUCUGAGAGGACGAUCAGCCACACUGGGACUGAGACACGGCCCAGACUCCUACGGGAGGCAGCAGUGGGGAAUCUUGCGCAAUGCGCGAAAGCGUGACGCAGCAACGCCGCGUGGGGGAAGAAGGCCCUCGGGUUGUAAACCCCUUUCAGGAGGGACGAAGGUUCGGCAGUUAACAGCUGUCCGGACUGACGGUACCUCCACAAGAAGCCCCGGCUAACUACGUGCCAGCCGCCGCCGUAA